GGGAAUAUUGGGCAAUGGGCGCAAGCCUUACCCAGCAAUACCGCGUGAGUGAAGAAGGUCUUCGGAUUGUAAAGCUCUUUGAUCAGGGACGAACAGAUGACGGUACCUGAAGAACAAGCCCCGGCUAACUACGUGCCAGCAGCCGCGGUAAAACGUAGGGGGCGAGCGUUGUCCGGAAUGACUGGGCGUAAAGGGUGCGUAGGCGGCAUAAUAAGUUAGAAGUGAAAUACCCAGAGCUUAACUCGGGUGCUGCUUCUAAGACUGUUGAGCUUGAGUGCGGGAGAGGUUAAUGGAAUUCCUAGUGUAGCGGUGGAAUGCGUAGAUAUUAGGAGGAACACCAGAGGCGAAGGCGAUUAACUGGACCGUAACUGACGCUGAGGCACGAAAGUGUGGGUAGCAAACA
rnacentral:rRNA from 1 species